rnacentral:rRNA from 1 species
GAUGAACGCUGGCGACGUGCCUAAUACAUGCAAGUCGAGCGAACAGAUAAGGAGCUUGCUCCUUUGACGUUAGCGGCGGACGGGUGAGUAACACGUGGGUAACCUACCUAUAAGACUGGGAUAACUUCGGGAAACCGGAGCUAAUACCGGAUAACAUUUGGAACCGCAUGGUUCUAAAGUGAAAGAUGGUUUUGCUAUCACUUAUAGAUGGACCCGCGCCGUAUUAGCUAGUUGGUAAGGUAACGGCUUACCAAGGCGACGAUACGUAGCCGACCUGAGAGGGUGAUCGGCCACACUGGAACUGAGACACGGUCCAGACUCCUACGGGAGGCAGCAGUAGGGAAUCUUCCGCAAUGGGCGAAAGCCUGACGGAGCAACGCCGCGUGAGUGAUGAAGGGUUUCGGCUCGUAAAACUCUGUUAUUAGGGAAGAACAAACGUGUAAGUAACUGUGCACGUCUUGACGGUACCUAAUCAGAAAGCCACGGCUAACUACGUG